rnacentral:rRNA from 1 species
GCGGAGGAAAAGACACUANCANGNAUUGCCGUAGUAACGGCGACUGAAGCGGGAAGAGCUCCAAUUUUGAAUCUCACAGUCUCAGACGCGUGCGAUUUGUCUUCUAGAGAUGUGUUUUCCGAGCCGGCCUCGGUACAAGUCCCUCGGAAUAGGGCGUCAUAGAGGGUGAGAAUCCCGUACUUGACGGAGACUACCGGUGCUAUGUGAUACAUUUUCAAAGAGUCGAGUUGUUUGGGAAUGCAGCUCAAAACGUGUGGUAAAUUCCAUAUAAAGCUAAAUAUUGGCGAGAGACCGAUAGCGAACAAGUACCGUGAGGGAAAGAUGAAAAGCACUUUGAAAAGAGAGUGAAAUAGUAUGUGAAAUUGCUAAAAGGGAAACGCUUGAAGUCAGUCGCGCCGGCCGGAAUUCAGCCUUUGGGUGUAUUUUCUGGUUGGCGGGUCAGCAUCAGUUUCGUUUGAGGCACAAGGGCAGUCGGAAGGUAGCUCCUCGGAGUGUUAUAGCCUUCUGUCGUAUGCCUCGGACGGGCCUGAGGACCGCAGCAUCCCCCCAAGGGUCGGUCUUCGGACACGUUACAUGCUUAGGAUGCUGGCAAAAUGGCUAUAAACGACC